CAGAUGUGGAGGCACAAGGGGUGACACCAGACACACACCAAGCACAUUGUUCGGACAUUCAAUCAUGACAUGAUCCAGGUGGAUGCUGUCCAUUGAGGAAAGAGUUUGUUCAGAGGUUUCUGGAUAGAAUUAAUUCCAAAGAUGGGAAAAAGUGCACAUCCAGACAAGGAGCAAGCAAAUAGACAAGGAACUUGGUGCAGAGAAAAGCUGUGGCCAUUAACCCCCAUGUGAACAGCUUCAUGCAGUCCCUGAUUGAGUUUGAAUGGACGACUUCAAAGUAAAGGCCACUGUGGUCUGUCUGCCACAGUUUAAUGCAUUUAUUUAUUUUUAGUGUUCAAUGAAAUUCAAGUAGAAUAUUUAAAACUAUGGGCCAGUGUUCUUUUUACCACAGUGAAAUGUUACCUUUAAGUCGAUGAUGGACUUUAAACUGAAAACUUCAAACUAUGGAACAGUGUUCUAUUUGCCAGAGUUAAAUAUGUUACAGCAGGGGUCUCCAAACUUGUUUAUACUUGUUGAUUUUAUUUUAUGUUACUUGAUUAUAUGUUUAUUAUUGUUUAAAAUCUUGUUUUAAAUGUUUUGUUUCAAUUAAAUGUUUUUUUAAAUAAAAUUUUGAUACAAACAUUGCUUGGAUUGCCUUUUAAUUCAUUAUGUCAUGUCAAGGAUAGCAUUUUUACCAUAUUAAUAACUAUAGAUUUAAACCUAAAUCUCUAUCUAUUUUAUAUAAUAUUAUUGUAUUAACUGUAAUAAGUAAUAAAUAGUAUUUAUGGGUCAAUAUAGACAUUACAGUAAAUUACUGUAAAAAUAGACUACUGUAAUAAAAUAUUGUAAAAUUACAGUACAGUACUGCUUUGUAACUAUACAGUACUAGUUUGUGUACUGUAAAAUGGUAUUACAGUACAGUACUGUAAACCCAAAAUACAGUAACUUACUGGCAACCGUGCUGCCAGUACCGUACUGUAAAAAUACAGGGAAAUCGUUAAC